GGGCUGGUAUGCAGAGACUGAGCUUCCAGGCAGCAAAAGGAGCAGGAGGGAACGGGGUGAGUGGGGAACACCAGGAGGCUCUGAAACUUCUGUGAAGAGGAUCAAACUUCCACCUGUCUGGUUUGCCAUCUGUCCC